GAUGAACGCUAGCUACAGGCUUAACACAUGCAAGUCGAGGGGAAACGAUGAGAGAGCUUGCUCUCUUAGGCGUCGACCGGCGCACGGGUGAGUAACGCGUAUCCAACCUACCCAUUACAGGGGGAUAACCUUGCGAAAGUAAGACUAAUACCCCAUGGCAUUUUAUGGUGGCAUCAUUAUAGGAUUAAAGAUUUAUUGGUAAUGGAUGGGGAUGCGUCUGAUUAGCUUGUUGGCGGGGUAACGGCCCACCAAGGCAACGAUCAGUAGGGGUUCUGAGAGGAAGGUCCCCCACAUUGGAACUGAGACACGGUCCAAACUCCUACGGGAGGCAGCAGUGAGGAAUAUUGGUCAAUGGGCGAGAGCUUGAACCAGCCAAGUAGCGUGCAGGAUGACGGCCCUAUGGGUUGUAAACUGCUUUUAUAGGGGAAUAAGGUGAGCUACGUGUAGUUUAUUGCAUGUACCCGAUGAAUAAGGACCGGCUAAUUCCGUG
rnacentral:rRNA from 1 species